GCGGCAUGCCUUACACAUGCAAGUCGAACGCGAAAGGGGGGCAACCCCCGAGUAGAGUGGCGAACGGGUGAGUAAUACAUCGGAACGUACCCAGUAGCGGGGGAUAACCUCUCGAAAGAGAGGCUAAUACCGCAUACGACCUACGGGUGAAAGAGGGGGAUCGCAAGACCUCUCACUAUUGGAGCGGCCGAUGUCGGAUUAGCUAGUUGGUGGGGUAAAAGCCUACCAAGGCGACGAUCCGUAGCUGGUCUGAGAGGACGGCCAGCCACACUGGAACUGAGACACGGUCCAGACUCCUACGGGAGGCAGCAGUGGGGAAUUUUGGACAAUGGGCGAAAGCCUGAUCCAGCCAUGCCGCGUGAGUGAAGAAGGCCUUCGGGUUGUAAAGCUCUUUCGGCUGGGACGAAAAGGUUCGUGUUAACACCACGGAUCCAUGACGGUACCAGCAGAAGAAGCACCGGCUAACUACGUGCCAGCAGCCGCGGUAAUACGUAGGGUGCAGGCGUUAAUCGGAAUUACUGGGCGUAAAGCGUGCGCAGGCGGUUUGCUAAGACAGGUGUGAAAUCCCCGGGCUUAACCUGGGAACUGCGCUUGUAACUGGCAAGCUAGAGUGUGGCAGAGGGGGGUGGAAUUCCACGUGUAGCAGUGAAAUGCGUAGAGAUGUGGAGGAACACCGAUGGCGAAGGCAGCCCCCUGGGCUAACACUGACGCUCAUGCACGAAAGCGUGGGGAGCAAACAGGAUUAGAUACCCUGGUAGUCCACGCCCUAAACUAUGUCAACUGGUUGUCGGGGAAGCAAUUCCUUGGUAACGAAGCUAACGCGUGAAGUUGACCGCCUGGGGAGUACGGCCGCAAGGUUAAAACUCAAAGGAAUUGACGGGGACCCGCACAAGCGGUGGAUUAUGUGGAUUAAUUCGAUGCAACGCGAAAAACCUUACCUACCCUUGA
rnacentral:rRNA from 1 species